UAUUUUACUUAAAAUGAGCCAUCUGCUGUUAGCUAGCUGAUAGCCCGUGCUUUCAUUUGCAGUGUUGGCUUGGCAUUUCAUUACCAUUAUAAAAUAUCAUAUUUAAUCUAAUUGUUAGCCAACACUGGUGCUUAGGGAUGAGCAGGGAAAUAAAGCAUUACUUAUUGUGGAGAUACAUUUUGAUAUCAAUAUAGAGAUUAUUAUUUCAUUUUAAGUGUUUUGUGAGCAUUUUUAAUAAGCACACAAUUUGUUUUCACUCUGGGAUUUAGGAGUUUUACCUGGCCAGGUAGGCCUAAUUGAAAAAUGUUAAAAUCCAGGUGUGUUAUUUCUAAUGAACGACUGCUGCUUUAUUAAACGCAGAUUACAUUUCAUUCACUUUCUGGCAGUUUUGCUCUGGUGUGUCACAGUUGGUCCUGUGACAGUUGGAGGUUGCUUCCUUGUUUUCUUUUCCUGUGGUGUUCUGUGGGCGUGUGUGGGUGUGUCUUUCCCUCGGCAGGGAGCUGGUCGCCCGGCAAGGCUACACACCUGUUGCCAAUCCUCAUCUACACCUGGUCUUAAUGUGUGGGGCUCCCUGAGACUCAUCGCCAGAUUAUUCCUAGCCAUAACUUGUUGCCGAGUCCGGUGUCAUUUGCCCUGCUUGGAGGAUCUCUAGGAGAGCGGAUUGCCCCUGCUCACAUCUCACCCACUACCAUUUUGUCCUUUGUGAAUAAACUCUUUACUUUGA